UUCAAUAAAUCCCACAACACAGCGACAGUGUCUCCCCACCGAGUCUAACGAUUCACUGGUCUCCUUUUCCCCAUGAUUUUCCAUAACCACUACACCACAUAAAAAAGUAAUAAUAAUCAUUUUAGGUUAGGUAACCCAUAUACUAAUUCCUCGUGAUCCCAGUUCAUUUUAGGUUAGGUAACCCCUAUACUAAUUCCUUGUGAUCCCAGUUCAUUUUAGGUUAGGUAACCCCUAUACUAAUUCCUCGUGAUCCCAGUUCAUUUUAGGUUAGGUAACCCCUAUACUAAUUCCUCGUGAUCCCAGUUCAUUUUAGGUUAGGUAACCCCUAUACUAAUUCCUCGUGAUCCCAGUUCAUUUUAGGUUAGGUAACCCCUAUACUAAUUCCUCGUGAUCCCAGUUCAUUUUAGGUUAGGUAACCCCUAUACUAAUUCCUCGUGAUCCCAGUUCAUUUUAGGUUAGGUAACCCCUAUACUAAUUCCUCGUGAUCCCAGUUCAUUUUAGGUUAGGUAACCCCUAUACUAAUUCCUCGUGAUCCCAGUUCAUUUUAGGUUAAGUAACCCCUAUACUAAUUCCUUGUGAUCCCAGUUCAUUUUAGGUUAGGUAACCCUUAUACUAAUUCCUCGUGAUCCCAGUUCAUUUUAGGUUAGGUAACCCCUAUACUAAUUCCUCGUGAUCCCAGUUCAUUUUAGGUUAGGUAACCCCUAUACUAAUUCCUCGUGAUCCCAGUUCAUAUUAUGUUAGGUAACCCCUAUACUAAUUCCUUGUGAUCCCAGUUCAUUUUAGGUAACCCCUAUACUAAUUCCUUGUGAUCCCAGUUCAUUUUAGGUAACCCCUAUACUAAUUCCUUGUGAUCCCAGUUAAUUUUAGGUAACCCCUAUACUAAUUCCUC